GCCAGACAGAGUGGAAACCGUGUUGGAAGGGCUUGGAAGCUGAAGCUCAAAGACAUUGUGUGACUUGCAGGCUAAGACUGGAAUUCCAAUAUCUACCCAUGGUGUCAGAUCCUAAAUCAAGUGGCGACUCUGCCAGGGAGGGAAAACAUGAAGAGAAAUGUCACUUGGCAGCACAACUCGCAUUCCUGGAUGCCUACAUAAUUCUGCUCCAAGAAGACCUGGAUAGAUCUUCUUUAAAAAUCAGCUGGGCGAAGUGGCUCACACUUGUAAUCCCAGCACUUUGGGAGGCUAAGGCAGGUGGAUCACCUGAGGUCAAGAGUUUGAGACCAGCCUGGCCAACAUGGGGAAACCCCCAUCUCUACUAAAUAUAUAUAUUUAUAUAUAUAUAACAUAUAUAAAUUUAUAUUUAAAUAUAUAUUUGUUUAUAAUAUAUAAUAUAUUAUUAAUAUUAUAUAUUAUUAUAUAUUAUACUAUAUAUAUAAUUAUAUAUUCUAUAGUAUAUAUAAUAAUAUAUAAUAUUAUGUAUAUAUGGCCGGUGUGGUGGCAUGUGCCUGUAGUCCCAGCUACUCAGGAGGCUGAGGCAAGAGAAUCGCUUGAACCCAGGAGGUGGAGGUUGCGAUGAACCAAAAUUACGUCACUGCACUCCAUCCUAGGCGACAGAGUGAGCCUUUGUCUCAAAAAAAUAAAAAUAAUAAUAAUGGCAAAUUCACAUUUUCUGUAUUUAUUUAUGCUUUGGGCUUAAAAG
rnacentral:lncRNA from 1 species